GAUGAACGCUAGCGGCAGGCCUAACACAUGCAAGUCGAGGGGUAACAUAGGAAAGCUUGCUUUUCUGAUGACGACCGGCGCACGGGUGCGUAACGCGUAUACAACCUACCUUUUAGCGGGGAAUAGCCCAGGGAAACUUGGAUUAAUGCCCCAUAGUAUAUAGACUUCUCCUGAAGUUUAUAUUAAACAUUUAUGGCUAUUAGAUGGGUAUGCGUCCUAUUAGUUAGUUGGUAAGGUAACGGCUUAUCAAGGCAGCGAUAGGUAGGGGUCCUGAGAGGGAGAUCCCCACACUGGUACUGAGACACGGACCAGACUCCUACGGGAGGCAGCAGUGAGGAAUAUUGGACAAUGGGCGAGAGCCUGAUCCAGCCAUGCCGCGUGCAGGAAGACUGCCCUAUGGGUUGUAAACUGCUUUUACAGAGGAAGAACCACCCCCACGUGUGGGGGUUUGACGGUACUCUGCGAAUAAGGAUCGGCUAACUCCGUG
rnacentral:rRNA from 1 species